rnacentral:rRNA from 1 species
AGAGUUUGAUCCUGGCUCAGGAUGAACGCUGGCGGCGUGCCUAACACAUGCAAGUUGAGCGAUUUACUUCGGUAAAGAGCGGCGGACGGGUGAGUAACGCGUGGGUAACCUACCCUGUACACACGGAUAACAUACCGAAAGGUAUGCUAAUACGUGAUAAUAUAUUUGAGAGGCAUCUCUUAAAUAUCAAAGGUGAGCCAGUACAGGAUGGACCCGCGUCUGAUUAGCUAGUUGGUAAGGUAACGGCUUACCAAGGCGACGAUCAGUAGCCGACCUGAGAGGGUGAUCGGCCACAUUGGAACUGAGACACGGUCCAAACUCCUACGGGAGGCAGCAGUGGGGAAUAUUGCACAAUGGGCGAAAGCCUGAUGCAGCAACGCCGCGUGAGUGAUGAAGGCCUUCGGGUCGUAAAACUCUGUCCUCAAGGAAGAUAAUGACGGUACUUGAGGAGGAAGCCCCGGCUAACUACGUGCCAGCAGCCGCGGUAAUACGUAGGGGGCUAGCGUUAUCCGGAUUUACUGGGCGUAAAGGGUGCGUAGGCGGUCUUUCAAGUCAGGAGUGAAAGGCUACGGCUCAACCGUAGUAAGCUCUUGAAACUGGGAGACUUGAGUGCAGGAGAGGAGAGUGGAAUUCCUAGUGUAGCGGUGAAAUGCGUAGAUAUUAGGAGGAACACCAGUUGCGAAGGCGGCUCUCUGGACUGUAACUGACGCUGAGGCACGAAAGCGUGGGGAGCAAACAGGAUUAGAUACCCUGGUAGUCCACGCUGUAAACGAUGAGUACUAGGUGUCGGGGGUUACCCCCUUCGGUGCCGCAGCUAACGCAUUAAGUACUCCGCCUGGGAAGUACGCUCGCAAGAGUGAAACUCAAAGGAAUUNNNNNNNNNNNNNNNNNNNNNNNNNNNNNNNNNNNNNNNNNNNNNNNNNNNNNNNNNNNNNNNNNNNNNNNNNNNNNNNNNNNNNNGAAAGAAGAAGCAAAUUAAUAGAUAUUUUAAAAGAAUCUAAGCAUCCUGUGAAAGGUGGAAUACUAGCUGAACUAUUAAAUGUAAGUAGGCAAGUAAUAGUUCAAGAUAUAGCCCUUAUAAGAGCUAGAGGAUUUGAAAUAAUAGCUACACCUCAAGGAUAUAUAAUAUAUAAUCAACCGUAUUUUACAAAACAAAUAAAAUGUAAAAAUCAUAAGGAUUCUAAAGAAAUUUAUGAUGAAUUAAAGAUAAUUGUAGAUUUAGGUGGUAUUAUAAAAGAUGUCAUUGUAAAUCAUCCAACAUAUGGUCAGAUAACUGCAGAACUUAAUAUUUAUUCUAAAAUGGAUAUAGACAACUUUAUGAAGAAAGUUGAGACAAAUGAAUUUAAACAAUUAUCGGUUCUUACAGAAUGUAGCCAUAUUCAUACAAUUGAGGCAAUAAAAGAAGAAACUAUAGAAGCUAUAGUAAAAGAGUUAAAGGACAACGGAAUAUUAUCAUAAGGAGGAGUUAAAUGAAUUUUUUAUCAUUGGCUAAGACUGCCUCAACAAAUAGCAAUAUAACUAAGAGAACUUUAGAAAAUAUGCUCGAUAAUUUUAGUGAUAAUAUACCAAAUAUUAUAUAUGCAAUAAUUGUAUUUGUGAUAGGUAUUUAUAUAUCUAAAAUAGUAAGAAGGAUGGUUUCAAAGUUUCUAAUCAAAUAUGGAAUGAGUAAAGGUGUAAAUAAUUUUAUUGUAUAUGGAAUAUAUAUAUCUAUGUUAUCUAUUAUAUCAUUGAUAAGUUUAGGUAUUAUAGGGAUACAAACUACAUCAGUUGUGGCUGUGUUAGGAGCUGCUGGAUUUAGUAUAGGCUUAGCUUUUAAAGAAAUAUUAUCAAAUUUAGGUUCUGGUAUGAUUAUUUUAUUUUUUAAGCCAUUUAAUAUAGGUGAUUAUAUUCAAGGUUCAGGUGUAGAAGGUACAGUUUCUGACAUACAAAUAUUUAGCACUGUUCUUAAGACUCCAGAUAAUAAAACUAUAAUUAUACCUAAUUUUCAACUGACAAGUAAUAAUAUAAUUAAUUACACACAUCAGAACAAAAGAAGAAUAGAUUUUUCAUAUAAUAUUUCAUAUGAUAGUGAUAUAGAUGUAGUUAAGUCUAUAUUAAAUGAAAUUUUUACAAACGAAAAAAGAAUAUUAAAUGAUCCAAAGCCUAUAAUAGGUCUAAACUCUAUAGGAAAUAACACCAUGCAAAUAGUCGCUAGACCUUGGGUAAAAACUGAUGAUUACUGGGAUGUAUACUUUGAUGUAAUGGAAAAGGUAAAAAAUAAAUUUGAUGAGAAUGAUAUAAAAGUUCCAUUUGUUCCUUCUUCAUUAUUAUUUAAUAAUACAGGUAAUUUAAAUACAAUGGAUAAAAGAUAAGGUCUUAAUUAAAUAGAAAAAAUGAAUUUAAUAUAAAAAAUUAAAGAAAAUUCUAAAAAAAUUUGAAUAAUAGUAUUGAAAGAUGUUAAUAUAUAUAAUAUAAUGAUUAUCAAAUAAAACAAUUAGUUAAAAAGCUGUGAAGGAAAAUAGUAAAAAACAGAUUGUAUUCAGAGAAUGAGUGGAUGGUGAAAACUCAUUACAAUGGUUUUUGAAUCUACUCUAGAGCUUCUAGUUAAAGCUAGACGUUUACCUACGUUAUAGGUCUGAGAGGAUUAUACAUUUUAGUAUAGUCAAUUAGGGUGGCAACGCGGAUAAAAGAUUUUCGUCCCUUUUAUAGGGUAAACGGAGGUCUUUUUUUAUUUUUAAAUUUUGUUUAAACUAAGAGUUUACAAGUAUAAUGUUUGUAAAUUAAGUUGGAAUUAUAACUUAUAUUAUCAAAAUUAUUAGGAGGAAUUAAUAUGUUAGAUAUUAAAAGAAUAAGAGAAAAUCUAGAUGAUAUCAAAAAAGCUAUGGAAAGAAGAGGUGAAAGAGAAUUUGACCUUGAUGCUGUAGUGGAAUUAGAUAAUAAAAGAAGAGAAAUACUUCAAGAAGUUGAAGUUAUGAAAAAUGAGUUAAAUGUAAAUUCUAAAAAAAUACCUCAAUUAAUAAAAGAAGGAAAAGAUGUAACAGAAGAAAAGGCAAGAUUGAAAGAGUUAUCAGAUAAAAUAAAAGGUAUUGAUGAGAAAGUAAAAGAAGUAGAAGCAAAAAUGGAAUAUACAUUAAUGAGAAUACCAAAUGUUCCUCAUCCAGAGGUACCACAAGGUGAAACAGAUGAAGAUAAUGUUCAAAUAAGAACUUGGGGAGAGCCUACUAAAUUUGAUUUUGAGCAUAAAGCGCAUUGGGAUAUAGGUACAGGUCUAGGUAUUUUAGAUUUUGAAAGAG